rnacentral:rRNA from 1 species
UACGUAGGGGGCAAGCGUUGUCCGGAAUCAUUGGGCGUAAAGAGCGUGUAGGCGGCCAGAUAAGUCCGCUGUGAAAUCUCGAGGCUCAACUUCGAGCUGUCGGUGGAAACUGUCUGGCUAGAGUCCGGAAGAGGAGAAUGGAAUUCCUGGUGUAGCGGUGAAAUUCGUAGAUAUUCGCAAGAACACCAGUGGCGAAGGCGGCUCACUGGCCCGGUACUGACGCUGAGGUGCGAAAGCGUGGGGAGCAAACAGG